rnacentral:tRNA from 1 species
GGAAUAGAGCCUCAGUGGUAGAGCACAUGCUUAGCAUGCAUGAGGUCCUGGGUUCAAUCCCCAGUAACUCCA